AUUUUGUUUCGUUUUGUGUUUCUGUUGCAUUAUUUUGCUGUUCGUUUCUUCUUCCUACCAUCUUACUGACUGUAUCUUCAGCCGAGUGUGUGCCACGAUGCCAGUGCGAGAAGCAGUCAUGGAACGGAGCAGCAGAACCUGAGCUGAGCCCUAGCCCAGCCAAGCCCAGGCUGGGCAGACAGGAGCUGAGCCAAGCAUUGCUGGCCACAGUCAACCCCAGCAGGGCAGAAAGCAGGCAGCACCACGGAGAGGAUUUUGGGAAUUGGUCCAUCAUUGUUUUUCGUUGUCUCAGGCUCAGGGAUGGGGAAUACUGGCUGCGGGGUGUCCACCACCUUGUCUUUGUCUCAAGAAUAACUGUGAGCUGCUGCCAAACAUCCCCAUCUUGUCUUUGCAUCAGCAGUCACAUGGAGCUAAACUGAGGUGUUAGUGACCACCUUUUGCAUGUAAAGAACCAUCUAUUCCAUAUGCUUUUGUUACUAAUAUUGCUGCUGGUGCUGUGCAUUUCUUAUUCCACUGCUGUUUGCUUUCACUAAAUUGUUGUCUCAACCC